CCUACGGGCGGCAGCAGUGAGGAAUAUUGGUCAAUGGGCUUACGCCUGAACCAGCCAAGUCGCGUGAGGGAAGACUGCCCUAUGGGUUGUAAACCUCUUUUGUCAGGGAGCAAUUGGCGCUACGUGUAGCGUUAUCGAGAGUACCUGAAGAAAAAGCAUCGGCUAACUCCGUGCCAGCAGCCGCGGUAAUACGGAGGAUGCGAGCGUUAUCCGGAUUUAUUGGGUUUAAAGGGUGCGUAGGCGGAAUGCCAAGUCAGCGGUAAAAUCGCGGGGCUAAACCUCGCUCCGCCGUUGAUACUGGCGGUCUUGAGUGGGCGAGAGGUAUGCGGAAUGCGUGGUGUAGCGGUGAAAUGCAUAGAUAUCACGCAGAACUCCGAUUGCGAAGGCAGCAUACCGGCGCCCAACUGACGCUGAAGCACGAAAGCGUGGGUAUCGAACAGGAUUAGAUACCCUUGUAGUC
rnacentral:rRNA from 1 species